CCGAAAUCUGCGCCGGAACCAAGCGGCAUCCAAAAUUUGUCACAGCCGUGCUCACCGCCGCUGUCCGUAAACCUCGGAACGGAGGGUUGUCAGCAGUAGCUAGUGGCAUCAGCUACUGCUGUAAACCCGUAGCUGAGGAGAUUGGGGGCAGUGGCGGCGAGCAUGGCUGUCGCAUAUGUUGGAUGCCGCUUGGUUCCGGCGCAGAUUUCGG
rnacentral:pre_miRNA from 1 species